GAGGAUAUAGCUCAAGUGGUAGAGCAAAUGCCUAGCAUGUACGAGAUCCUGGGUUCAAUCCCCAGUACCUCCU
rnacentral:tRNA from 1 species